rnacentral:lncRNA from 1 species
GAGGAAACAAAGACAGCCUUUGAAGCGGUCAGUCCACUCUAUGGCAGAAGCCAACUGCCUGGCAUUCUCCUCCUUGGGCUUGCUCCAGUAGGCAGUUUGGGGGGGGGGGGGGGACAGUCCUACCAAGAGCCAGCCUUGAGGACAGCUGGACAGGAGUCUGAGGAUCCAGGACACAGCACCAGCCACAGCCCACCCUCAGCACCUCUGCCAAGCUCUGUUAGCGGCUAGAGACAAGCUGAGAGUCCUAGGGGCUGCAUAAAGGCAGAGAGGGGUGUAGGGGCACCAGGUAUGAGAUUCCAGACUCCAACUGCCCUGAGAGAGCCCAAGAGAUCCUACUCCUGGGAGGACUGAGUCUUCACCGCCCCACCCUUCAUCCAUACGUUUGAUGAAAAUUGCUCUCUCUAUGUAUCAUUUCCGGUUUUCCCACCCCACCUAUGCUGAAACAAGCUGCAGAGGUUGACUCAACAGAAGGCCAAAACCCCUACACAGGGAACUUCCGGACCUCACUUUUCCUUUCUCCUCCUCUCCUCACCCUAGCACGGUGCCUGCUACACUCGUCCAAGAGGCAAUCUAGAUCAUUACAGAUCAGCUUCCCACCGAGGGCAGCGGAAGGCCACUAGGAAAGAAGAGAAAGAGCAAGGAGUUUUUGAAGCCUGGUCCUCCCUCACUGUCAGACCUUAGUCUGUCUCUAUGCCUCAGUUUCUCUGUAAUAGAAGACGGGGUGGGGUAUAUAAUUCUAGGCCAUUCUGCCUCUGUCACUUCAAGUUCUAGGCCAAGCAGUCAUUUAGGACACUAACUGCUGUAGAGACAGACCCUCUAGCUUAACAUUCCUCACCCUCCCCUGCCCAGGCAUCCAUCCUCUUUAGACACUGAGAUCCUUAGAUUUGCAUCAAUUCCCAGCAGUGCCCGCGGGGCGGGGCAAGGAGCACCUGUUACACUCAUCUGAAAUGAAAGACUCUGCAAACUAGGGGAUACAGCCUGAGCAGCACAAUUUGGGAUUAAUUUGAGGCCUUCCCGGCCUACGGUUGGCCCCACUGUGCCUGUGGGUUAGGUGUGGGAUGUGACCCCGGCCAGGGAGCAACGCCUGGGUAGUGAGUGCAAAGGGCCACAGAUCGGUGGUGUGGUUGUGCCCCUAGUUCGCAAUAAGAGCAAAGCCAAACUUGUUCGUCGCACUCUGGCAGCCUGAGCUUCUGCCCUCGGUCCACUAAACACCCCCAGUCCAGGGCCAUCACCCUGUCCCUUUGAAGAGACCCGAGGGAAAAGAGGGAAACUCAGAAGAUCAGGCGGGUAAAAAGAAACCGUCUUUCCUGCUGGGGGUUGGAAAGAAAAAGAAACAAAAAGAAAAAGGAAAGAGAAGAGAGAAGGAGCAGGGGAUCUGAAGCGUGUGACCGUCAAACCAUCAGCAUGUCCCUUGGCAGAAAAGAGGAACCGUUGAUUCUUCAAAGCGCAUUGAGCAAUUUCUUCAAAACCCGCGCAGUCACUUUCAGGAAUCGCGGCCGCAGUGGGAAGCGCUGCGCGCGGCCCGGGCGCCUCGGUUUCUGAGAAGCGAAGCGCUGGGCUGGCACGGGGCAGGGAGGGGCCCGCGGCCGAGAAGCUGCUGCUGACAGCUGUCACAACAAAUGGGCCCAGAGCAGCUCGAGAUUGAAACCGCAGCAGGAAGUGUGGGCGGCUCAGUGAAUUUCAGUCCAGACUCGGAGAGGAGAGUUUCGAGAUAAACGCCUGGGAAGCCCCUGGCCGCCCCGACUUUCCACGAGAAGAGAGCACGCAGACAUUCGGGUUACCCUGAGAGCCACGAUCGCUCUGGGACCCCAGCCCUCUGACCCCGGCGCCGCCCGCCAGCCGCUUACCCAUGGCCCAGCGAGAGCGCGCGUCGCUAUGCAGAGACCCUCUACACGCACAGCCGUCCUGUCCCAGCGCUCUCGGCGCGACUGACUACCGGCGCCGCUCGACUGCCUCCUCCCCCGCGGACCCGCCCAUGGACCCGCCCCCCCCCAGCGCUCUGGGCGCCCAUUGGUGAAUCCUAUUUUCUAGAGCGGAGCAGACUCCGCCCCCUUAGACCCGAGGACGUCUGGGAGUUGUAGUGUGCGCCCACUUUGCAGCUAGGGGCUGAUGUAAGAAACUCAAGAAUCAACUGCUGUCGCAUGUCUGUUGGUUUCCCUAGAGGCAAAACUAGAGUCUUAGAAAAACUGCCCGCUCUUUGUAGCUUGCCAAAGACUGGGUGGGGUUAAAUAAAGUGCUUCUGGCUUUUACCUGAAGUGGUCCUGGCCGGUUCCAUCCUUUCCAACUUUACACAGUAAGUACUGUUAGCCUACCAGAGGCCAAUCUAGAAAGUCUGUGGUCCAGGCCUAAUGCCCAAAAUGCCCAUGUCUACAUAUGUCAUGUAGACUGAGUGAAAGCCACAAGAUGGACCGUGCAAAGAGGAAGUGAACGAGUUGAGGGUGAAUGUGGACAAGAUUAGUAGAGAGAACAGUCAUUUGGACCCGUGUGGGUUAUAGAAGAUGACGCUAAAACUUGAGAUUUAAAAGCAGAAAGCCUUAUUAGCUUGAACUCGAACUCUGUUCCUAUUAUGUAGUUAGUAUCCCCGGAAUCAAAUUCUGUUGAUUAACUAUAAUACUCAUACAGCUCGGUGCAUUUCAUACCAUCAUUAUCUUCAUUAUAUAGAGCAAAACAGGCCUGGGUGAUUAAUUAGCUCAUAUUACUGGUCGGUGGUAGGGCUAGAGAAUUGGGGCACAGAGGAAGGCUUCAUAGUUAGCCCCCAACAUUUUAGUGUUCCCCUUCACACUGAACAAAUGGACAGUCUGCAUUUGAUGACUUUGACCCUCUGGGCUUUAUCCAUAAGCUCUGGAAUGGCAGAUCUGCAAGCUCAGCCUGGAGCAGACACCAGUGAGCUUGGUGGAUAAUUGUAAUAAACCAGUGCUUGCCGAUCUGGUAACAGGCAAUAUUGUGGUUGAUAUUUAUUAACUGCUCAGAAUAACGAGCAGAACAAUGAUUGUAACAGUGCCUCCCACAUCCAAGAUUACAAACCCCAGUCCACCCCAAGAGAUCCAAGACUCUAGCAGAGAUGCAAUCUACCAAGAGAUACCACCUGGAAACUUCACAGGCUUCUAGUCACUGUGUUCAUUUGGUAAGGGUCGAUUGGUUGGGUUAGCUACAGUGCCAGGUUAGGUAUGGAGAUCUGCACGCUGCCUUCAGUGUUGCAGUAUAGACCAUCCACUACCUCCUGGAUUGGAUACAUCUAUCAAUGAGGCACUCACUACCUUUCAAAGCCACAGCUAAUCCGACCUCUGAAAAGGAGGAUCCUACCGUCCAGGCAGGAGAGCUCACUCUCAGGCAGUGCUGUUUGUGCAAAGCCUCAGCAAGUCAACACCUGUCUCGGGCAACCUGCGAACAAUAAGAUCUAAAUUUAAUUGUCUCCUGAGGCAACUCUUUGCAACAGAAAGUAAUUUACAACAGCCAAUAAACCCUGCUGAGGAAUGAUACCUCCAUUUGCCUUCCUAAAAGCACAAACACUUCAGUUGCUCAAGCUUUACACACUCCUGCCCCAGCCCACAGCCACCGCCCUCCAUCACUCUCCAUCCAUAGAACACCAGCUCAGGAUAGCGUGAGCAUUCAUCAGUGCUUCCAUGGUUUGGUUGUCUCUCUGGCAGCCUCC